GGGCUGAAACUGCAGUAUCAGCAGAUGGGGAGCUUAAGAAGGAAGCUAGUUCAUGGCACAGCACCCCUAAAGUCCCCAGAAUUGGAGGCACCAGAUUCUUCUGAAAGAAAAGGAGCAAUUCAGCACUUGUCACGGAGAUAAGAGGUCAACACCCCAGGACGGAGUGAAAACCUAAGGGCCUUAGCAUAUGCUAUUCCUUCUGCCUGGAGGGCGCAUCCCCCAACCAUCACAUGACUGGCCACAUUGCUCAGACUUUAGCCUAGAUGUCACCUCUUCAGAGAAGCCUUCUCUGACCACCCUAUUUAAUGUUGAUCACUCCACCUGCAGCCCAAACACCAGCUAAU